AGAGUUUGAUCCUGGCUCAGAUUGAACGCUGGCGGCAUGCCUUACACAUGCAAGUCGAACGGCAGCACGGGUGCUUGCACCUGGUGGCGAGUGGCGAACGGGUGAGUAAUACAUCGGAACAUGUCCUGUAGUGGGGGAUAGCCCGGCGAAAGCCGGAUUAAUACCGCAUACGAUCCAUGGAUGAAAGCGGGGGGCCUUCGGGCCUCGCGCUAUAGGGUUGGCCGAUGGCUGAUUAGCUAGUUGGUGGGGUAAAGGCCCACCAAGGCGACGAUCAGUAGCUGGUCUGAGAGGACGACCAGCCACACUGGGACUGAGACACGGCCCAGACUCCUACGGGAGGCAGCAGUGGGGAAUUUUGGACAAUGGGCGAAAGCCUGAUCCAGCAAUGCCGCGUGUGUGAAGAAGGCCUUCGGGUUGUAAAGCACUUUUGUCCGGAAAGAAAUCCUGAGGGCUAAUAUCCUUCG
rnacentral:rRNA from 1 species